rnacentral:rRNA from 1 species
GACGAACGCUGGCGGCACGCUUAACACAUGCAAGUCGAACGGAGUUUUUUAACGGAAGUCUUCGGACGGAAGGUAAAAGACUUAGUGGCGGACGGGUGAGUAACACGUGAGUAAUCUGCCUUACAGAGGGGGAUAACGUUCUGAAAAGAACGCUAAUACCGCAUAAGCCAACGAAAUCGCAUGGUUUAGUUGGAAAAGGAGCAAUCCGCUGUAAGAUGAGCUCGCGUCCGAUUAGCUAGUUGGCGGGGUAACAGCCCACCAAGGCGACGAUCGGUAGCCGGACUGAGAGGUUGGACGGCCACAUUGGGACUGAGACACGGCCCAGACUCCUACGGGAGGCAGCAGUGGGGAUAUUGCACAAUGGGCGAAAGCCUGACCCAGCAACGCCGCGUGAAGGAAGAAGGCCUCGGUUGUAACGUUACAGUCAACAGGAA